rnacentral:rRNA from 1 species
CCUACGGGAGGCUGCAGUGGGGAAUAUUGCACAAUGGGGGAAACUCUGAUGCAGCGACGCCGCGUGAGUGAGGCAGUUUUUCGGUAUGUAAAGCUCUAUCAGCAGGGAAGAAAAUGACGGUACCUGACUAAGAAGCCCCGGCUAACUACGUGCCAGCAGCCGCGGUAAUACGUCGGGGGCAAGCGUUAUCCGGAUUUACUGGGUGUAAAGGGGGCGUAGACGGCUAAGCAAGGCAGAAGUGAAAACCCAGGGCUCAACCUUGGGACUGCUUUUGAAACUGAGUAGCUAGAGUGCAGGAGGGGUAAGCGGAAUUCCUAGUGUAGCGGUGAAAUGCGUAGAUAUUAGGAGGAACAGCAGUGGCGAAGGCGACUUACUGGACUGUAACUGACGUUGAGGCUCGAAAGCGUGGGGAGCAAACAGGAUUAGAUACCCCAGUAGUC